rnacentral:rRNA from 1 species
CGGUGGAGCAUGUGGUUUAAUUCGAAGCAACGCGCAGAACCUUACCACCUUUUGACAUGCCCUGAUCGCUGGAGAGAUCAUUUCCGCAGGAACAGGUGUGACGAGCGCAACCCUCGCCAUUAGUUGCCAUCGGGAUGUCAAGUCUCAUGGCCCUUACGGGGUGGCUACAUACAUGGCGACUACAAGGGCUGCAACCCAGCGAUGGUGAGCUUCCCUAAAAGUCGUCUCAGUUCGGAUUGCACUGCAACUCGAGUGCAUGAAGUCGGAAUCGCUAGUAAUCGGGAUCAGCAUGCCGCGGUGAAUACGUUCCCGGGCCUUGUACACACCGCCGUCACACCAUGGGAGUUGGCUUUACCCGAAGGCGGUGCGCUAACCAGCAAUGGAGGCAGCCGACCACGUAGGGUCAGCGACUGGGGUGAAGUCGUACAAGGU